rnacentral:misc_RNA from 1 species
GCAGUGGGAAGGAACUAGAGAAAAGAGGGUGUCCAGUUGGAGGGAUUUCAUGAAGGGUGGGAAAAAGGCUAAGAAAGGAGAGAUUCGGCCUCCAAAGCUUAAGACAGAAGAUCCCAACAAAUCUUAUGUUCAAAGACCUGUUAAAAGAGGUUAACUCAUGUACUCUUGAUGGGUUUUUACUGCUUCCAUAAUGCCAUGAAUCCUCAUUGAAAGCUUGAAGUGGCUUCUUGAGUGUAAGCUUCAACCUUGUGUAAAGUUGUAUUUGUUAAAAAGCUAAUUAUUGAGCAGCAAAUUACAUUUUGCUCUCCAGUGUUGACCAGGUAGUAGUAAAGCUUUU